GACAGAGGGUGCAACCGUUGUUCGGAAUUACUGGGCGUAAAGCGCGUGUAGGCUGCCCCGCAAGUCGGAUGUGAAAGCCCUGGGCUCAACCUAGGAAGUGCAUUCGAAACUGCGGGGCUGGAGUCCUGGAGAGGAAGGCGGAAUUCUCGGUGUAGAGGUGAAAUGCGUAGAUAUCGUAAGGAAGACCAGUGGCGAAGGCGGGUCUCUGGACAGUUCCUGACGCUGAGGCACGAAGGCCAGGGGAGCAAACGGG
rnacentral:rRNA from 1 species